rnacentral:rRNA from 1 species
GAUGAACGCUGGCGGCGUGCCUAAUACAUGCAAGUCGAGCGAACAGAUGAGGAGCUUGCUCCUCUGACGUUAGCGGCGGACGGGUGAGUAACACGUGGAUAACCUACCUAUAAGACUGGGAUAACUACGGGAAACCGGAGCUAAUACCGGAUAAUAUAUUGAACCGCAUGGUUCAAUAGUGAAAGACGGUUUUGCUGUCACUUAUAGAUGGAUCCGCGCCGCAUUAGCUAGUUGGUAAGGUAACGGCUUACCAAGGCAACGAUGCGUAGCCGACCUGAGAGGGUGAGCGGCCACACUGGAACUGAGACACGGUCCAGACUCCGACGGGAGGCAGCAGUAGGGAAUCUUCCGCAAUGGGCGAAAGCCUGACGGAGCAACGCCGCGUGAGUGAUGAAGGUCUUCGGAUCGUAAAACUCUGUUAUUAGGGAAGAACAAAUGUGUAAGUAACUAUGCACGUCUUGACGGUACCUAAUCAGAAAGCCACGGCUAACUACGUG